rnacentral:rRNA from 1 species
CUACGCACUCCUACGGGAGGCAGCAGUGGGGAAUAUUGCACAAUGGGCGCAAGCCUGAUGCAGCCAUGCCGCGUGUAUGUAAGAAGGCCUUCGGGUUGUAAAGUACUUUCAGCAGUGAGGAAGGUGGGUAUGUUAAUAGCAUAUUCAUUUGACGUUAGCUGCAGAAGAAGCACCGGCUAACUCCGUGCCAGCAGCCGCGGUAAUACGGAGGGUGCGAGCGUUAAUCGGAAUUACUGGGCGUAAAGCGCAUGCAGGUGGUUUGUUAAGUCAGAUGUGAAAGCCCGGGGCUCAACCUCGGAAUUGCAUUUGAAACUGGCAAACUAGAGUACUGUAGAGGGGGUAGAAUUUCAGGUGUAGCGGUGAAAUGCGUAGAGAUCUGAAGGAAUACCGGUGGCGAAGGCGGCCCCCUGGACAGAUACUGACACUCAGAUGCGAAAGCGUGGGGAGCAAACAGGAUUAGAUACCCUGGUAG